rfam:Nicotiana sylvestris Nsyl_contig4215, whole genome shotgun sequence.
UAGACAGAUUAUUGUAUUCGACUGUAUUCACAUCGUGAAAUAGCGCAAUUCAUGGUCUAUUCAACUGUUUUUAAACGGAAAGUGAAUCAAUUAACAUAAUAAACUCCU